AAAGUACUCCCUCCGUCCAAAAAUUCUUCUCUUAGAUUUGUCUAGAUACGGAUGUAUCAAGUCACAUUUUAGUAUUAGAUACAUAUGUAUCUAGACAAAUCUAAGACAAGAAUUUUGGGACACAGGGAGUAGUUG
rnacentral:pre_miRNA from 1 species